rnacentral:rRNA from 1 species
GACGAACGCUGGCGGCGUGCCUAAUACAUGCAAGUUGGGCGCUGAAGGUUGGUACUUGUACCGACUGGAUGAGCAGCGAACGGGUGAGUAACGCGUGGGGAAUCUGCCUUUGAGCGGGGGACAACAUUUGGAAACGAAUGCUAAUACCGCAUAAAAACUUUAAACACAAGUUUUAAGUUUGAAAGAUGCAAUUGCAUCACUCAAAGAUGAUCCCGCGUUGUAUUAGCUAGUUGGUGAGGUAAAGGCUCACCAAGGCGAUGAUACAUAGCCGACCGGAGAGGGUGGUUGGCCACAAUUGGACUGAGACACAGCCCAAACUCCUACGGGAAGCAACAGUAAGGAAACUUUGGCAAUGGGCGAAAGUCUGACCGAGCAGCGCCGCGUGAGUGGAGAAGGUUUUCGGAUCGUAAAACUCUGUUGGUAGAGAAGAACGUUGGUGAGAGUGGAAAGCUCAUCAAGUGACGGUAACUACUCAGAAAGGGACGGCUAACUACGUG